rnacentral:rRNA from 1 species
GAUGAACGCUGGCGGCGUGCCUAAUACAUGCAAGUCGAGCGAACGGACGAGAAGCUUGCUUCUCUGAUGUUAGCGGCGGACGGGUGAGUAACACGUGGAUAACCUACCUAUAAGACUGGGAUAACUUCGGGAAACCGGAGCUAAUACCGGAUAAUAUUUUGAACCGCAUGGUUCAAAAGUGAAAGACGGUCUUGCUGUCACUUAUAGAUGGAUCCGCGCUGCAUUAGCUAGUUGGUAAGGUAACGGCUUACCAAGGCAACGAUGCAUAGCCGACCUGAGAGGAUGACCAGCCACACUGGAACUGAGACACGGUCCAGACUCCUACGGGAGGCAGCAGUAGGGAAUAUUCCGCAAUGGGCGAAAGCCUGACGGAGCAACGCCGCGUGAGUGAUGAAGGUCUUCGGAUCGUAAAGCUCUGUUAGUAGGGAAGAACAUAUGUGUAAGUAACUGUGCACAUCUUGACGGUACCUAAUCAGGAAGCCACGGCUAACUACGUG